AUCAGGACAGGUUAAGCUACACAAAGCAUAAAAAUGCUUUUCACACUGCUGUGUGUUUUCUCCCUUGUGUAUUGAUACACCAGCCAGGCCCCCUUUAGUAUUAUUCGUUAACCCCUUCAAUGCCUCGAUUGUGAAUGACACGAUCACGGCAUUGCAGGGGUUAAUAUUUGUCCCCACAAGCU